GCCAGUGUGGUGGUACACUCCUGCAUCCCAGCUACUUGGGAGGCUGGGGCAGGAGAAUCGCUGGAGCCCAGAGCUCUGGGCUGUAGUGCACUAUGCUGAUCGAGUGUCUGCACUAAGUUUGGUGUCAAUAUGGGACCACCAGGUUGCCCAAGGGUCAAAAUUCUAGUCCUGAUCCCCCAGUAAAUAGCCACUGCACUCCAGCCUGGACAACAUAGCAAGACCCCACCUCU
rnacentral:sRNA from 1 species